rnacentral:miRNA from 3 species
GCUCUCUAUACUUCUGUCACC